CUACAAUGACGGCAGUAUUUUUCGUCAACAGCAGUUCGCCUGGUAAGUGUUGAUACUUUGGGUCUGAGUGA